AUAGCUGCUACUGUGACAACUGCGGGCAGAGCUUUUCCUCAUCUGUGGGAAUAGUGGCUUCCACGCCGCAUAACAGCUGGGAAGUUCAAGGAGACGUGAUUAGAUCCACUGGGAAAGACAAACUGUGGGCUAGAGGGUGACAUUGUGACUAUUUUUAGCUUCAGGAAUGUCCUUUUGAAAUAUACGCUGACACCUAUUCUGUGUAAAAGUGUGUGUUUGGUCCAGGACAAGUUCUGGUGAUGUUGAACCCAACCCUGGGAAGAAUCAAGGAAAUAAAAAGGUUUGCAUGGAGCCUAGCAAAGAAUAAAAGCGAUUCCUAAGUGUCCUUACUGACUCAUCCCUGCAGAGUCUACAUCCAGAAGAAAAUAGCAUAUGGUUGCUUCAGAAUGGCUAAUUUGUAUUUUCUUGUGUUCUAAACUGCCAUCAACCAGAUGCUUAUGGUGCUCCAUGGAGACAUACCCAGAUGACUCUUCCAUUGACUCUCCUCAACCAAGAUUCACUUCCAAACCAGUGUCAUGGUAGAGAUGACUAAGAAUACAGAUGACUUUCUUUUUCUCAUUCUCUUUAAAUGA